rnacentral:rRNA from 1 species
UAUCGCUAACGACCCUUAACAGGGCUUGACAUUGGGAGGUCUUAUUCAGAGAUGGAUUUUUCAAGCAAGGGACCUCCUGCACAGGUGCAGCAUGGGCAUGGUCAGCGUCAGUUGUGAGAUUGAGGGUUAAGUUUCGCAACGAGCGCAACCCUCACCCUUAGUUUCCAGCAUACGAAAGGGCCCUUUAAAAGGAACUCCGGUGACAAACCGGAGGAAAGUGGGGAAUGAGUCAAAGUCUCAUGGCCCUUUAUGGUAGGGGCUACACACGUGCUACAAUGGCGGACAGAGUGGGGAGCCAGGCAGAGGGCCGAGCUGAUCCAAAAAACCGAUCGCAGUUCGGAUUGCAGUCUGCAACUCGAGUGCAUGAAGUCGGAAUCGCGUAGUAAUCGCGGAUCAGCAUAACGCGGGAAUACGACGUU